GCGGUUUCUUAAGUCUGAUGUGAAAGCCCCCGGCUCAACCGGGGAGGGUCAUUGGAAACUGGGAAACUUGAGUGCAGAAGAGGAAAGUGGAAUUCCACGUGUAGCGGUGAAAUGCGUAGAGAUGUGGAGGAACACCAGUGGCGAAGGCGACUUUCUGGUCUGUAACUGACNCUGAGGNGCGAAAGCGUGGGGAGCAAACAGGAUUAGAUACCCUGGUAGUCCACGCCGUAAACGAUGAGUGCUAAGUGUUAGGGGGUUUCCGCCCNUUAGUGCUGCAGCUAACGCAUUAAGCACUCCGCCUGGGGAGUACGGUCGCAAGACUGAAACUCAAGGGAAAUUGGA
rnacentral:rRNA from 1 species